GUGAGAAUUGCUUCUUGUCCCUCAGAUUCUAUGUUACCUGUCCUCGGUCCACUUGGAAUCUCUUGAGAGAGCCGAGUCCUGUGUGUUCCUAGGCCCUGCCACAGGGACCUGGACGCCCUGCCUGUUGAGGCAAGGUUGUGGAUGUCCCGGGCCUUAUGGUCCCUGCUUCGCAUGAUGUGGGGCAGCAUCCAUCUGAACGCUCAUCACUACCAAGGCCAAGGUUUUGGAAGGAAGUCUUUCUUCUCCCAUCUUAGUAUUAGACCAUCGGAUUUGGGACACGGGACUAAGGCCGCUGACUCUGCAUCCCUUACAAGCAUACACAGCUGCCUGCCCUUUUGCCUCGUGUCCAUCCUGGAGCGGCCUUCUGCAAGAUUCUAUGUUACCUGUCCUCGGUCCACUUGGAAUCUCUUGAGAGAGCCGAGUCCUGUGUGUUCCUAGGCCCUGCCACAGGGACCUGGACGGCCUGCCUGUUGAGGCGGAUGUCCCUGGCCCCAGUGUUCCCUGCUUUGGAUGAUGUGGGGCAGCAUUCACUUGAAUGCACUUCACCAAGGAGGCCAAGGUUUUGGAAGGAAGCCCUUCUCCACUCCCAUCUCAAUAUUAGACCAUCGGAGCAUGGGACAGGAAGCUCUGGCCCCCCACCCUGGAGUCCUGAUCAGUGUACACAGCUGCCUGUCCCUUUCCCUUGUGUCCAUCCGGGAGCAGUCUUCUGCCAGGUGGGAACCCGGUGCUGGGACUAGGGUCCCAUUGAGUUGGGCGAUAGUCUCCCUUGGUGUCACAACUUCCCGUGUGCUCUUGGUUCUGGGACACCACCAUCCCACUGCUCUAGCAUGUCGGGGGUCAACCUGGGAGGACCUUCUUUGCUCGCCGCCUUGACCUGGAAGCUUGGGUCAGCAGACCUAAGGCCAUCCUGGCAGCUGUACUGCUCACCCUGAAAAUAUUUAUACAAAGAUCAAGAUCGUUAACCAUAAAAAGUUCACAUUUUAACUUACUGGAAUUCAAGACCAGACGCUUGUAUAUGCAAGAUAUACUGUCUGAUUUUUGGUUUUGUUUGUCAAGUUGGGAAGAAGGAACAUUUGUUUAAGAACUGCCUUUAUUAGCUAGCCUUUGGGCAUGUGUGUGGGACAUCUUCUUGACUGCUGAUUGAUAGAGGAAAGGUCUAGCCCACUGUGAGUGGUCCCUUGCCUAGGUAGGUGGCCAUAGGUUAUAUAAGAAAGGUAGCAUAGUAAGGCAGAGCAGAAGCCAGCAAGCAACAUCCAUUCAUGAUUUCUGCUUCAGAUUCGGCCUCCAGAUUUCUGUGCUCAAGUUCCUGCCUUGACUUCCUUCCACAGUGGACUGUCACCUGUAAGCCAAAUAAACCCUUUCCCAGAA